CAGCAAUUGAAUUCCAAUACUCUAUUAUAUUUUCCCUCAACUCAGUGAACUCUCCUGCCAACGAAUAUUCAUGGAUAAGAAUUCUGGCAAGUUGAUGAUCACAUGAAGAGACGCCAGAGGAACCAAGAAACACUUUUGGAGAACACUGCAUUCAGAACCUGGGAAAAGGAGACUGAGGAGAAGAGAGGAAGAGAUAGGACACAUGGAGAGACACCAGUGAAACGGGUGCUAGCAGAAAGACCGCAUGAAGAGGCAGUGGAAAGAGACCAUCUGCAAGCCAGGAGAGAGGUCUCCCCAACACCUGACCUUGGACUUCCAAUCCCCAGGACUGUGAGAACAUAAAUGUCUGCUGUU